GUGAAGGCCUCCUCCCCAUUCUCACUUUUUACACAAACUAUUCUAGAGAACAGCAUGAUCAAGAGGAGGGUGGUUCCAGCUACCGCCUCAGCCCCAAGCUGCUUGCCAAGAGUUACAAACUUCAUGUCACUCAGUAUCAGAGGCUGAAAGUCCAAGAUCAAGGCAUCAGCAGAUCUAAGGUCUGCAGGGGACCCUCUUUCUAGUGCACAGAUGGUGUCUUCUCACUGUGUCCUCACACGGUGGAAGGGGUGAGGGAGCCCUCUCGGGUCGCUAACCCCAUUCCUGAGGGCUCCACCCUCAGGACCUGAGCACCUCCUAAAGGCCCCCUCCUGACACCAGCACACGGUGGGUGAGGAUUCAACAUUGGAACUGGAGAGGACGCAGAUAUUCAGUCUACAGCAUCUGUGCCGCAAAGAGCCAUCUUCCUGUCAGAUCUUGUCAGAUGAGUCCUGCAUGUUUUUAAUCUGGAAAGGUGGCUGACAAAGAGCUUCUGCUCAGAGGAGGCAAAAAAGAAGGAAGUGCUCACGGAAGGAUGGGGAUAUGCCAAAAGGGCAUAGAAGCCAACCUGCUGGAGCUCCCAAUGGCGAAAGCUGGACCGAGUUGAGCAAAAAAAACAAAUAAUGAUAGCAGUGGAUUCUAAUUCAUAGAAUAAUAUAAAUAUUCAUGGGUCCAUAUUGAUACAAAAAAUGCAAACCAGUGAGAGGAGAGAACUCAUGUGUUGUGCCUGCUACUCACUGCUGUGUCUCCCCUGGGGCCAGAACACAACAUGGUGCACAGUCGGCGGUAACUGCUCAGAGUGGAAUGAAGGAGCUGUUGGUGUCACCCAUGCACAGGUGCUGGCGAUGCCAGUGAGUGAGGGCUUAGAAGCCACUGCCCUCAUGGGGCUCACCCUCCGGGAGCAGAGAUUAGCCGUCACAAUGCCAACAAGUGAAGAAGUAGAGUGUGCAGAGCCAAGCAGAGCUGAGCGGAGAGAAUAAGGCAAGUGUGAGUGUGUGAGGGUGAG
rnacentral:lncRNA from 1 species